rnacentral:rRNA from 1 species
UGGGGAAUAUUGCACAAUGGAGGGAACUCUGAUGCAGCGACGCCGCGUGAGUGAUGAAGGAAUUCGUUUCGUAAAACUCUGUUCUAUGGGAAGAAAAGGACUGUACCAUAGGAGAAAGCUCCGGCUAAAUACGUGCCAGCAGCCGCGGUAAUACGUAGGGCGCGAGCGUUGUCCGGAUUUAUUGGGCGUAAAGGGCUUGUAGGCGGUUUGUCGCGCCUGUCGUGUAAUCCUCUGGCUUAACUGGGGGUGUGCGGUGGGUACGGGCAGGCUUGAGUGCGGUAGGGGAGAUUGGAAUUCCUGGUGUAGCGGUGGAAUGCGCAGAUAUCAGGAGGAACACCGGUGGCGAAGGCGGGUCUCUGGGCCGUUACUGACGCUGAGGAGUGAAAGCGUGGGGAGCGAACAGG